rnacentral:lncRNA from 1 species
UCAAAGCCGCAGUUCUCCCGUGAGAGGGCCUUUGCGGUAGAGGCAGCCUUUGCUCAGCAGCGGAAGACUCCGAUUUCUCGGUACUCUUCAGGGAUGAGUCAUGUGGCAGUGGAAAAUGCGCUCGGGCUGGACCAGCAGGUGAGCCUGAGCCGCGGGGGUCGCUGCAUCACUUUGCCCCCUGCCCUAGCCUGCCUUGUGGCGCAGCUCUUUAAGUUCUGCUUUUUGCCUUCCCGUCUCCCUGGACGGCUCGGGCCGGCGGGUGGCCAGUGGCUAGGGGCUCUGGAGGGACUGGAUGCUUGCGGGGGGAGUGCUAGAGCCGGUGAUUCCUCCGGCUCGGCUCGGUGCGCGGUAUUGUCCCUGGCCCGAGCACAAUGGCGGCUUUUGUGUCUGUGCGCAGGCGAGCGGAGGGGGAGGGGGCGCGCGCAUUCGGGCGCACGCGCGUCCCCUGGUUGAUUAGUGACCCGCAGGUGGGGAUCGGGGCGGUCGGGGGGGGGAGAUUGCCCCGCGUGGCGUGGCGGGGCCCGGGUGGAUGGUUUUGGCCCCGGAUUUCCGGGGCUUUGGGCUUCCAUGGCCCCAGUGGCUGUGGUUUGGAAAUUAGGGAGCUGGCGGCGGCGCGCGGGCUGGCCGAGUGGCCCCGCGGCGCUGGAAUGUGGGAGGGGGCGCCGCGGGAGGGGGGCUGGCCUCUGCGCGGGCUAAUGGCGGCGGCCUCCUUUGUGUGGCGCAGGCCGGCGGUGCUGCGCGGUCGCCCCCCCACCCCCAUCCCCAUCCCCCCGGGUCUGCCCGCCAGCGGGUUCGCCUGCAAGCCAGCUGGGUUGCUUCGGCCCCGCCGGCCCGGUGCGUCGCGGCAGGGGAGGCCGCGGUUCCCGAGUGGAAAGUUUUGUGACGCAGAAAUUUCAGGGCGGAUUGGGCGGGGGGAGGAGGGGGAGGGAGGCCAGGGCCGCUGCGUGCGCACUUGCGCCGGGCUUGGCGGUGACGCGAGCCACCCGGCGCGGCCCUUGCUCAGCCUUAGGCUCCAGGAAACGACCGCGCGGCCCGAGCCGGGCACGCCCGCCCUUUACCUGGGCGCAAGGGAGGACCACGCGCCUUGCGAGUGAUGGCCCACUCUGGGAUCCUCUAGAGGCAAAAUGCCCAGAAUAUGGCAACAGAUAACUUGUUGCUGCCAUCGAAGUAAAAUUGGGAGAUUGGUCAGGCCUGGUUUCUGAUUACUUAAUCGAGACUCCAUUUCUAGAUUUAGAGGCCAAGGAGAUGAGGGUCUGGUGCCUUCUGCCUGACCUAUGACCUGCUACAGUAAAUCUUCCAUGUUGUGACACAUUGUAACUUAAGGGACACUGGUAACAUUUUCCAUUCUAAAUGAUACUUAUACUAAAAUGAUACUAUUGUUGAACUAUAUUGGAAAUUAUAUUUCCAAGAGCCUUUCAUAAGUUGGUAGUGGAUUUAACUUCGAAAGCUUAGGAAUUCGGAGUGGUUCAAGUUUGUAAUGAGUACCAACAGUGCAUUUGGCAACUUUGUUGCUUCGAUUAAUGUCAAAUGAUU